UACAGAGGGUGCGAGCGUUGUUCGGAAUUACUGGGCGUAAAGGGCGCGUAGGCGGCCUGUUAAGUCGGACGUGAAAUCCCCGGGCUCAACCCGGGAACUGCGUCCGAUACUGGCAGGCUUGAAUCCGGGAGAGGGAUGUGGAAUUCCAGGUGUAGCGGUGAAAUGCGUAGAUAUCUGGAGGAACACCGGUGGCGAAGGCGGCAUCCUGGACCGGCAUUGACGCUGAGGCGCGAAAGCGUGGGUAGCAAACAGG
rnacentral:rRNA from 1 species